GUGUUGGCUUUGGCAGCACAUAUACUAAAAUUGGAAUGAUACAGAGAUGAUUAGCAUGGCCCCUAUGCAAGGGUGACACCCAAAUCUUGAAGCAUUUCAUAUUUUA
rnacentral:snRNA from 1 species